ensembl:lncRNA
UGUUGUUUACACGGUUAUCUGCCCUCUCAUUAGCUAGAAUGGUCCCACCUGAUCUUGCCUCCUCCCGACUGCCUUUCAUUUUUUAAGACAUUUCUUUUCAUUCUUAGAAUGGUCACUAGAGUAUCUGGUCAAUAUACUGGAUAAAGUAUUGAAGAUGACGCCGAAGGCCCGGUACCACCAGUGCCGGCACCAGGCCUAUAGUGCGCCACGGCAGUCCGGAACCUCCGACGGGCCAUAGCCCGGAACCUCCAGCGACGGGCCACGGGUCAGUGCUACAAGAGCGGACUCAGUGUAAAGAAGGGGGCGGCGUCCAGAACCAGAGCCGCCACCGAAGUUAGAUGCCCACCCAGACCCUCCCAUAUUGGUUUAGGUUUGCGUCCGGGAGUCCGCAUCUUUGGGGUGUUCGUUCUUCCAUUAAAAGAUGUACGCUUACCACGCAGCGCCUUGGUCUCCUCACGAUGAUGAACGUGACAAUUUCACGGGAAUUAGACAUAGGUCCUGGUGCAGCCCAACCUCCAGCCUCAGCCCAACCUCCAGUUAAAGGCCCAGACCCAGCACCACUCCCAUCUCCAUGUCCAGCUCCACUCCCAUCUCCAUGUCCAGCUCUAGGCCCAGCACCACCCCCAGCUGCAAACAGAUAUUCUAAAAUAAUCAGCAGACACAUUGGCCCAUAAAAAACAAUAACAAGUGGUGGAUGGCCAUAUGUAGUGGGGCAAAAAAGUAUUUAGUCAGCCACCAAUUGUGCAAGUUCUCCCACUUAAAAAGAUGAGAGAGGCCUGUAAUUUUCAUCAU